rnacentral:rRNA from 1 species
GAUGAACGCUGGCGGCGUGCUUAACACAUGCAAGUCGAACGGGAUCCAAGGGGUGCUUGCACUUUUUGGUGAGAGUGGCGAACGGGUGAGUAACACGUGAGUAACCUGUCCUUUUCUUUGGGAUAAGCAUUCGAAAGGGUGUUUAAUACCUUAUGUUCUGUCUGCCUCGCAUGGGGUGGGUGGGAAAGGCUUUGGCCGGAUUUGGGUGGGCUCGCGGUCUAUCAGCUUGUUGGUGGGGUGAUGGCUUACCAAGGCUUUGACGGGUAGCCGGCCUGAGAGGGUGGGCGGUCACAGUGGGACUGAGAGACGGCCCAGACUCCUGCGGGAGGCAGCAGUGGGGGAUAUUGCACAAUGGGCGAAAGCCUGAUGCAGCGACGCCGCGUGGGGGAUGAAGGCCGUCGGGUUGUAAACUUCUUUUGCUCUGAACAAGGCAUGCCAGUGGGUGUGUUGAGUGUAGGGGUUGAUUAGCGCCGGCUAACUACGU